rnacentral:precursor_RNA from 1 species
CAGCCCAGUCCUGCUCCCGCCCCAGCAGCACACUGUGGUUUGU